rnacentral:tRNA from 2 species
CCCAAGCUAGCUCAGCCUGGCAGAGCCCCCGGCUGUAGACCGGGUUGUCGCAGGUUCAACUCCUGCGCUUGGGA